UUACUGCUGGUCCUGGGAGUCUUUUCCUUCGGAGCAGGAGCCCCGUCCCGCGUCUGUCUUGAGCUCCCAGCAGGGAAAGUCCAUCAGCUUGAUAAUGGAGGAGAACAAUGACUCCACGGAGAACCCCCAACAAGGCCAAGGGCGGCAGAAUGCCAUCAAGUGUGGGUGGCUGAGGAAGCAAGGAGGCUUUGUCAAGACUUGGCAUACUCGCUGGUUUGUGCUCAAGGGGGAUCAGCUCUAUUAUUUCAAAGAUGAAGAUGAAACCAAGCCCUUGGUGAGUAGGAGAAAAUGUAAAGCAUUAAGGGCCUAAGAAAGCCAAGAAAUAGAGGGAUUUGCUAGAAACCGAUUGGGACUGAGACCACCCAAAGCUCCCUGGUCUCCUUCACCCUUUUACCCACUGCUUGCUUUGAGUUGGAGAUAAUAAAAUUGCUAAUUGAGGCCAAGAGGCAAAUUAUACUUGUCUAAUA
rnacentral:sRNA from 1 species